UGAAAAGCAUCCAAGUUGUAUUUCUUUUUAUUAUUAUUAUUACAAAGAGAAGAAUUAGAAAGCCAUCGGAAAAGGCUGAUGAGUUCUCUCUGAAUAGGCAAACAGGCAGCAGCUGUGGGAGGAGGCGACAGAAUGGUGGCAUUUUUCAAAAUGGGCAUUUGGUAUUACAGAUUGAUGCACGAAAAAUAAAAACAAGGAUAAACUAUUGAGUCAACAAAUUAUUAUUAUAGCGAUUUUUAUGGGGUGAUCUUGCCCUGCUUUUGGAUGAAGCCACAAAUUUCAGUCACUCAUUAGCAUUCCUUCUUUGAAAUGACUUUAAUAUGGUUGUAUAUUAAUUCGAUUGCUAUGAGUUUCCUGAAAUAGAAGAUUGACUUGACCUGUGGCUGGUGCUAGGGAGAUCGCAUCCUGUGUCACAUCAGCAAAUUAGCAUGGAGUUUAACCCUUACAUAGUAAAGCCUAGCACGGGCAAAACAACAUCAUGGCUAUUUUUCUAACUUCCAGCACUUCAUUAACUAUGGCACCACAUAGGGGUUAUAUAACUGUGAGCAUAACUUUGUAAAGUUUAUAAACAUAACAGAGAACAUUCUCACGGGUGUCCUCGGCCAGGCCGCAUGCGUCGCUCCUUGAGGUCACCCAAAGUUCCCUUUCCAGACACAGCUCACCCUUCAGUUGCAAGGGGAGGCAGGCUGCCCACACUGGCUGUCCCAGCGCUAACCCCUCAAGUGAUCCUGCUCAGCAGCUCUGUGCUCCUGCCAGCACGUCGCAGAGGAAGAUGGAUUGCCUCUUAGUAAUGUUUCUCAAGGGAACGGAAAGAACACAGAGUUAGCUAUGGCUCGUCUCCAAACUGCAGACUCCAAACUCCAAACCACCAACGUGUGCUGCAAAUAAGGGAGUAAAGGAGCCAUUGGUUCAGGGUGAAGCAAGGGGACACCUGCAAUUUCUUUCCUUAGAAUUCAUGCCUUCACUUUUUCAUCAGUGUAAUGAAAGGAGCUGUGGAACUGAAGUCAGAAAACCCAGGCUGCAGCUGAGAAACUGCUAGCUAUGAUACCUUGAACAAGUUGCUUAAAUGCUCAAAAUGUUUAUUUCCUUAUUUACAAAGUAAAAGAGUUGAAUGGUAUGAUCCCCAAGUUUACUUCCACCUGUGAAGAUUUAAGCCUUCAAUUGUAAUCAGUUCCAGAAGCACUCUCAGUUAUUAUGUCCUGCGUUGUGAUGAAAUGCGUAUUUCCGUGGACUGAAUAAAGCCUAACUCUUGCGAAUCGAA